AAGAAGGCGCAGCAGCGCCUCUUCAACCUCAGGAGGCUGAAGAAAUUCGGCUUGUCACCAAAAGCACUCACAAACUUCUACAGAUGCACAAUCGAGAGCAUCCUGGCGGGCUGUAUCACCACCUGGUACGGCAACUGCUCCGCCCUCAACCGUAAGGCUCUCCAGAGGGUAGUGAGGUCUGCACAACGCAUCACCGGGGGCAAACUACCUGCCCUCCAGGACACCUACACCACCCGAUGUUACAGGAAGGCCAUAAGGAUCAUCAAGGACAACAACCACCCGAGCCACUGCCUGUUCACCCCGCUACCAUCCAGAAGGCGAGGUCAGUACAGGUGCAUCAAAGCUGGGACCGAGAGAGACAGGUUCUAGCUCAAGGCCAUCAGACUGUUAAAACAGCCACCACUAACAUUGAGUGGGAGGAAAUGUCCUUUCAUUCCAAUCCUGGUUAGAGAAGGACAGAGCCUUCAGCAUUCAGCUCUUAUCACCAGGAAGCUCCAUCUGCCCUUUCACUACUGAGACACUGAACCCUACAGGAGGCAGGGACACUUUAUGGACAGGGUGCGUCCCAAACACCAGCCUAUUCCCUAUAUAGUGCACUGUGAAGGCAGUAGUGUGACAUGUGGGAUGCAGGUUCCACAUGAAAAGUCAACACAGGUCUGAAGUCCAGCCUCUCCAAUUCUCACCUCCAUUAAAAGCUUCUUCUAUGUAAAAUGCCAGACCACCUGGGAGGAGGCUAUAAUGACAGGUUACCACAGAGUCUCAUUCACUAACAGGUUACCACAGAGUCUCAUUCACUAACAGGUUACCACAGAGUCUCAUUCACUAACAGGUUACCACAGAGUCUCAUUCACUAACAGGUUACCACAGAGUCUCAUUCACUAACAGGUUACCACAGAGUCUCAUUGACUAACAGGUUACCACAGAGUCUCAUUCACUAACAGGUUACCACAGAGUCUCAUUGACUAACAGGUUACCACAGAGUCUCAUUGACUAACAGGUUACCACAGAGUCUCAUUGACUAACAGGUUACCACAGAGUCUCAUUGACUAACAGGUUACCACAGAGUCUCAUUCACUAACAGGUUACCACAGAGUCUCAUUCACUAACAGGUUACCACAGAGUCUCAUUGACUAACAGGUUACCACAGAGUCUCAUUCACUAACAGGUUACCACAGAGUCUCAUUCACUAACAGGUUACCACAGAGUCUCAUUCACUAACAGGUUACCACAGAGUCUCAUUCACUAACAGGUUACCACAGAGUCUCAUUGACGAACAGGUUACCACAGAGUCUCAUUGACGAACAGGUUACCACAGUAUUGUAUCACAUAGCUUUUCUAUUUAGGGUCAAGAUUUUUUAAUAUAUUUUUUUAGCUUUACUUAACAAGGCAAGUCAGUUAAGAACAAAUUAUUAUUUUCAACGAUGGCCUUGGAACAGUAGGUUCACUGCCUUGUUUAGAGGAACAGUGGGUUUACUGCCUUGUUCAGAGGAACAGUAGGUUAACUGCCUUGUUCAGGGGAACAGUGGGUUAACUGCCUUGUUCAGGGGAACAGUGGGUUAACUGCCUUGUUCAGAGGAACAGUGGGUUAACUGCCUUGUUCAGGGGAACAGUGGGUUAACUGCCUUGUUCAGGGGAACAGUGGGUUAACUGCCUU